UUACGUGCAACCAUGCAUUACUAUAUCAUUAGUUAUUCGCAUAAUACAUCGUAUAAUGAUUUGCUGUUUUUUGUAUAUAUCUAAGUAUGCUUUUGCAACGUUUUUACUCGUUGAUUUUGCCCAACCUGGCGUUCAAAUAGCAUAUAAUAAGUAUAUGCCAAUAUUUAUAGUGCGGUUAAUUAACCCUUCAAAAUAACAAGUACAGUGUGAUUGGACGGAUAGAAAUUUUAAACAGAUAAAAAUUAGGUGCAAAGACUGGCACUAGCUUCAAAUCCCCUUUUUUAACAGGUUGCAUUGCAGCUCAGGAAAUAUUUGGAAAAUCAAAAAACUGCUUUAAUGUUCUAUAGACAUUUUUUUGUCUACUUUCAAGCCACAGAACUAAUUUUUUUUGUGAAGUACUUUUGAAUUUUGAGAUUUCGAGCCUUAAUAAAAAUUUAUAAUAAAAUUCAGAAAUUCCAAAUUUUUGGCUAUUAGCGUUAAUUUCACAGAUGCCUCCAUAUCUGAAAUUCAUACUUGUGUCAAAGUCUACACAUCCUCUCAAUAUGGUGCUUUCUUCACAAAACGCACAAUAGAUUCGCUUAUCCGCCCCACUAUAACAACUUGUGCGUUUUUACCUGUGUACUUUGGAAGCACCAGAACAGUUCCGAACAGUCAUGUGAUCGUGUUCUGUUCCAUUCCAUUAGUGUUCCCAAAAUCUGGAGUACUC